UAUAUAGAUAUAUAUAUAAAAACACACACACACAUGCAUGUGAAUAUAUAUAUUUAAAACUGAAAAUAUCUCGAAAUAGGGUCAAAAGACAUAAAUGCCCCUGAAACGCACUUGAGGGUAUUACAUCUACUCUUUAGUUUUGUGCAGUAGUCUGGGUUCAUAUUUUGCCUUCUGGGCAGACCUUCUGCACUGGUGUGGGUCUGCUUAUCUUCUGCUGGAUAUUCCUUCUGGUCUCCAGUUCCUGGUGUUGAGUUUAUGCCCCGGUUAUUUGCUCCAAGGGUCUCAUUGCAUUGUCCAGACUAUGUUCCUUUUAAGCUUCAGGUCACCUGCAUGAGGCUGCUGUUCUGUCUUGGUUCAGAUACCUUCUGCGAAGUGCUGCAGGGGAAUGUGCUGUCCAGUUUCUCCUAGCCUGCUUUGCCUCUCAAAAACUCUGUGUCUUGAUUUCUGCAGAGGAGAUUGCUGCUCCAUACACUGCCCAGCUUCAUUUUUUGCUAGUGUUGAGUGCAUUGAAGAUAUCAGCUUGGAGAAGACUGAUGUAAAUUUGGAUGUUACGCAGCAUAAGUGUGCAGCUCGCGUUCUGUUGGGAUUUUGGUGUCAUUUUGGUUAUAUACUUUUUGUAUAGUCUACUCUUGGUGGCCAGGCCUGCUCCACUAUUAUGAUGUAAUGUUAAGUAUAGUUGGGAAUGUGUUGUCUCUUCUCUUGAAUUCUAUCAAAGUAGGAAUCUUGGUAGGCCUUGAAGAGAGGUUGAUGUUGUUUUCUCCCUUUUCCUUUUUGUGAAGGCCGUGACCAGACUUAGCUUGUAAGAGCUUUGUUAGUUUGUUGUCUUUUCCACCGGAAAAGGUGAGUUUAGGUUGUUUCUUGACACCA